CUUGGGUUUUAAGACAUUGGUAGCAUGUGUUACAGCUUAAUAUUUUCAAAGAAGUUCCCUUGCCUCCUUUUUUCUUGUGGCAAUCAGGAACGUAGCAUGACCCGUUAUCGUGAUCAGAUAACAGGUAGCACAAUCAGGUAUCACGAUCAUGGAGCAAGGAGCGGGACUUGAUAUCUUGGAGAUCAUAUUAUAAACUCCAAUGAUCAAUCACAACUUUAACUUGCUAUGUUGAGUUCGAUGUUGUGACAUGUGCAGAAAGUUGGUGCGAAAGUCAUUAAGACACACAUUAUAAUUAUUUUGUGGGAUUUUAUUUUUAUUGUGUUUUCUAUUAUUUCUAUUACUGACAUUUUGCAUUUGUUUUAUGAUAUGCUAACAACUUUUGUUGCUA